UUAACAAUUUGCAAGAAUUAAGUGACUUUAAUCGUUAAAGAAUUAAAAGAUGCUGAUGGAUCCAUUCCGGGCUUUUUAAAAGAUGCUGCGUUUGAGGUCCAAAAUGCUCAUUCUAGCUUGGAUGACCAUUUAGCUCGCUGGUUUGUCUUAAAUCAGUUCAAGUAUCAAUGGGCACUGGACGAUUAUCAUGAGAACAAGGGAUUGGUAAGUGUAAAUAAAUUACUUUAAAUGGUACCCUUCCAAGGGAAAAUUAAACUUUCAGAUCAUUAGUACUAUUAGCUCAUUUAGUUUGGUAUUAUGCCUUGAUUUAAACUCCUUGAUGCUUCAAUUCUCGUGGUAUCUCCAAAUAUAGUCUAAAGUUGUUUCUUUGAUCUUAGUUAAGGGAGCAUGGUGUCCUGAUUCGAUUCCUCUCCUGGAUUAUAUCAUAUGUAUGAGAUUGCCUGUAGCUUUUAGUAUUUCAGACAGUGGUGGCGGAUUAAGAAAUAUUCUUGGGG